GAUGAACGCUGGCGGCGUGCUUAACACAUGCAAGUCGAACGAUGAACCUCACUUGUGGGGGGAUUAGUGGCGAACGGGUGAGUAACACGUGAGUAACCUGCCCUUGACUCUGGGAUAAGCCUGGGAAACCGGGUCUAAUACUGGAUACGACCUUCUGGCGCAUGCCAUGUUGGUGGAAAGCUUUUGUGGUUUUGGAUGGACUCGCGGCCUAUCAGCUUGUUGGUGGGGUAAUGGCCUACCAAGGCGACGACGGGUAGCCGGCCUGAGAGGGUGACCGGCCACACUGGGACUGAGACACGGCCCAGACUCCUACGGGAGGCAGCAGUGGGGAAAAUUGCACAAUGGGCGCAAGCCUGAUGCAGCGACGCCGCGUGAGGGAUGAAGGCCUUCGGGUUGUAAACCUCUUUCAGUAGGGAAGAAGCCGGCUUUUGGGUUGGUGACGGUACCUGCAGAAGAAGCGCCGGCUAACUACGUG
rnacentral:rRNA from 1 species